rnacentral:rRNA from 1 species
UACGUAGGGGGCAAGCGUUGUCCGGAUUUAUUGGGCGUAAAGCGCGCGCAGGCGGUCCUUUAAGUCUGAUGUGAAAGCCCACGGCUCAACCGUGGAGGGUCAUUGGAAACUGGGGGACUUGAGUGCAGAAGAGAAGAGUGGAAUUCCACGUGUAGCGGUGAAAUGCGUAGAGAUGUGGAGGAACACCAGUGGCGAAGGCGACUCUGUGGUCUGUAACUGACGCUGAGGCGCGAAAGCGUGGGGAGCAAACAGG